CUUCGGAUACUUUUGAGUUGCUGUAGACCUGUCUUCAAUGCCUUUCCCCACACAGGCGACAUUGACUACAGCACCGUGCUCCUCGGCAUGCUGGUGACGCAGGACGUGCAGCUCGGGCUCUUCAUGGCCGUCAUGCCGACUCUCAUACAGGCGGGCGCCAGUGCAUCUUCUAGCAUUGUCAUGGAAGUUCUGCGAAUCCUGGUUUUGAUUGGUCAGAUUCUUUUUUUCGCUAGCGGCGGUUUUUCUUUUAUGUCUUGUUAUAAAGAAGUAUCUCAUUGGACCCUAUUAUCGGAAGCUGCACGUGGAAAGCAAGGGGAACAAAGAAUAAUCCUGAUCUUGGGAGAUCUGCCGUUAUCUUCUUAAUGUUAACGGUCACGGAGCUGCUGGACGUCUCCAUGGAGCUGGGCUGUUUCCUGGCCGGAGCGCUGGUCUCCUCUCAGGGCCCCAUGGUCACUGAGGAGAUUGCCGCCUCCAUUGAACCCAUCCGUGACUUCCUGGCCAUUGUUUUCUUCGCCUCAAUAGGGCUCCACGUGUUCCCCACAUUUGUGGUAUACGAGCUCACAGUGCUGGUGUUCCUCACCUUGUCAGUGGUGGUCAUGAAGUUUCUCCUGGCGGUGCUGGUCCUGUCUCUCAUUCUGCCGAGGAGCAGCCAAUACAUCAAGUGGAUCGUCUCCGCGGGGCUUGCCCAGGUCAGCGAGUUUUCCUUUGUCCUGGGGAGCCGGGCACGAAGAGCGGGCGUCAUCUCUCGGGAGGUGUACCUCCUUAUACUGAGUGUGACCACGCUCAGCCUCUUACUCGCCCCGGUGCUGUGGAGAGCUGCAAUCAUGAGGUGUGUGCCCAGACCAGAGAGACGGUCCAGCCUCUGAUGUACGGAGAUGAUGGACCUUGGAAGGGAAGCGUCUGUGGGGAGUGUGCACUUAAAUGGCCAACAGCUGCUGCUUCUGGGAAGCUCGCACCUUGGCAACAGAACAGCUCUCUAGCAAAGUGUCGGUGCAAUCAUGUUAUCCUGGCUUUUACAGAAUAUUCUUGUCCUAUUUUAGAAUUUUCCAGAGUAGUUUAUUUGCAGUCAGUUGAUUAUGUGCAGUAGACCCGGGACGCUGCAUUUUACCAAUCGCCUUGAAUGUGUUGCCUGGAUGUGCCUUUUUUUUUCCUGAAAUUAAUUAUUAUUAAUUUUCUAUUGUGAGUUCAUCAGUUCGUAGUUUUUUUAGUAAAGAAG